UUGAAAGGGAAACGAUUGAAGUCAUUCGUACCGACGAGAAGUCAACUUUCUGAGGGGUGACUUUUGGGGGGGUGUGAGGUGUCAAAGACCUCGCUGCUUGCAAGUUUGUGCUUUUUGGGUGUACUUUUUCGUAUGGUAGGCCAACGUCAGUUUUGAUCGUCAUAAAAUGAUCGGAGGAAUGUAGCUUUGAUCUCGUAUUGAAGUGUUAUAGCCUUUGGUAGAUGUGGUGAUCGAUACUGAGGAUUGCAACGAAUACCCUUUGGGCCAUCCGUUUGAACUCUGGAAGGUGCCUCGGGGCCCAAAACUUGCCUAUGGUAUUUAAAACGCCGGGCAAAAUGUGUGAGCGCGGGUUCAUUCGUUAAGGAUGUUGACGUA
rnacentral:rRNA from 1 species